rnacentral:lncRNA from 1 species
AAGCUACACCACAACAGCCCAGUAUAACCCAUCAAAGCCAGGCUGAUGCUCAGGGCUUCAACAGAAUUGGGCAGAACAGCCACGAACCCCCUCCUAAAACUACGAUCUGGACCUCAGCAGACACCAUCAGGAUGAUGACAGAGAACACUCUCUCCACCAGGCCUGACCAAAGGUCUGGCUAGGCUGAUGGUUACGAAAGAGAGGGAGAAAGAGAAGAGACUUAGGGGACCCCUCCCCCGCAAGCAAUCCUCCACGGGGAAGGCUGGCCGUGGGAAGCUGUCCCUACCCAGUGCAGACUCGAGUCUGGCUUGAGAGCCCUGGCCCACCUCUGGACAGGGUCCUGAUCCAAGGCUGGCGCUUCAUCUCAGGGCAGGGGCAAGGUGGGGGGACCCUGCCUGUCUGCCUGGAAGACACCCACAUGGCUUCCUUCGAUUCGUCCUGCAGAUCUCCCUGGCAUCACUUUCUGAGACACCGUACUCAACCCCCUCCAACAGGGAAAGCCCCCGCGCUAUGUCCUGACUCCCCCAGCUGCGCCUGGCUCCCCCACCUGUGCCUGGCUCCUCCAGAGACACCUGUUCCAGCCCAGUGUGCGGUGUGCUCAUUGUGCCAUCUCCUUGGGUGGAGUGAUGGCUCCAUGAGGGCAGGCAGCUUUAGGUUCAAGUUGGUUUGGAAUCCAACAGGCCUGACAUCAUCAUUUCUCACCAGUGUAACCUUGGCUCAUGAAUUCUGCUUUCUGAGCCUCAGUUUCCUCAUCUGCAGAAUGGGGGCAGCACAGAGCCUCCCUCAUUGCCUUGUUGUGAGCGUUCCCCAGGAUCAUGAGUGCUUUAAAAGGUGCUUAGGUCAGCUGAGCACAAUGGUUCACACCUGCAAUCCCAACACUUUGAAGGCUGAGACGGAAGGAAGAUCGCUUGAGCCCAGGCGUUCAAGACCAGCCUGAG